rnacentral:rRNA from 1 species
CAGCCGCCGCGGGAAUACGAAGGGUGCAAGCGUUAAUCGGAAUUACUGGGCGUAAAGCGUGCGUAGGCGGUUUGUUAAGUCUGUUGUGAAAUCCCCGGGCUCAACCUGGGAAUGGCAAUGGAUACUGGCAAGCUAGAGUGUGUCAGAGGAUGGUGGAAUUCCCGGUGUAGCGGUGAAAUGCGUAGAGAUCGGGAGGAACAUCAGUGGCGAAGGCGGCCAUCUGGGACAACACUGACACUGAGGCACGAAAGCGUGGAGAGCAAACAGGAUUAGAUACCCCGGUAGUCCCUGUCUCUUAUAC